AGCGAACGCUGGCGGCAGGCUUAACACAUGCCAGUCGAGCGGGCAUCCUUGUGGUGUCAGCGGCAGACGGGUGAGUAACGCGUGGGAACGUGCCCUUCGGUUCGGAAUAACUCAGGGAAACUUGAGCUAAUACCGGAUACGUGCGAGAGCAGAAAGGUUUAUCUGCCGAAGGAUCGGCCCGCGUCUGAUUAGCUAGUUGGUGAGGUUAUGGCUCACCAAGGCGACGAUCAGUAGCUGGUCUGAGAGGAUGAUCAGCCACACUGGGACUGAGACACGGCCCAGACUCCUACGGGAGGCAGCAGUGGGGAAUAUUGGACAAUGGGGGCAACUCUGAUCCAGCCAUGCCGCGUGAGUGAUGACGGCCUUAGGGUUGUAAAGCUCUUUUCUCCGGGACGAUAAUGACGGUACCGGAGGAAUAAGCCCCGGCUAACUUCGUG
rnacentral:rRNA from 1 species